GCAGAACUAAAACAUACAACCUUAGUUCCUACAUAGAACCUCUUAAUAGAACUUAACCCUUUUUACUGUUUUUAACUGAAUGUACAAUUUCAUAAAUGAUUUAUUAAUUUAUUUAACUCAUUAAAUUAUAACCCAUGAAAUAUUAUUUAUUACAUUAAAUUACAGCCAUAUGAAGUUAUUUAUUACCUGAACAACAUUUAGACUGACUGAGAGGAAACAUGCAUAUUAAAAAGUCAGGGUGUUGAGGAACAGGACAAUUCAAUUUAUAAGGAGAUUUUAGUGUCUAUAAUUUACUCUUCUUUGCUAAACCUUUGCCUGCAUUUCUGUUAUCUUGUGUGUUGCUUCACAGACUGAACUGUAGCAUAAAAGAAGCCAUCAAAAAGGCAAGAUGUCAGUGUGGUGAGUUCUCUGAUAUUAGAAUUGACAAAGAUAAAGAAAAUGAGAUGGUACUUCAGCCAUAACUUCUCAGUUAUGCUGUAAACAUCACAGCUUACUCAUUGUUACAUAACAGUAGUGGUAAAAUAUAUAUAUAUAGUUUUAGUAUUUGUACUUUUGUAUUCCCCUUAUCUAUUUAUUUUUAUUUUUGUUAUGCUUUUCCCCCUUAACAGUGAAAAUAGCAGAACAGAGCACCUGUUGUGUGUGGUAGAUAUGGACACACACACAUACACACACAUUUACACACUUUGAAGCAUACACACCAUCUGCCAGGAAGCAAGUCGUUCGAGUUUUUGCUGGAAGAGGAAUUAUGGAGACCACUGACAUCUUGACCUGUGUAAGAUCAAGUAGAAAAAAGAACAUUUGAUCUUUUGUCUCUGUCCAAAUCAGAUUUUUGUAAUACAGAAAAACAGGUAGUUACUUGUAACAUCAAAAAACAGCAAAAAAUCAAUUUUUUGUUUAUUAUUGGUCAUUAUAAUUUCUUGGUGAUUUAGGCAAUACUUUUGAGAUGAGUGCAUGAACUUUAAAGUGUCAGGUCUGCUAAUGCAGGCUCUGGAUGGGGCCCCUCCUUCCCCCCUUUUUCUGUUUUCCUUUUUUGGUGUGCUUGGCUCUGAGGCGACGGCAGCAGGUGAGGACGAUCCAUGAUCAGCAAUCAGCAGAAGCACGAGCAGGUGGAUCGGAGCCAAUCAGAACACAACCUCUCUACAAUAUAACCUGUCUCCACUCAUCGUUCGACGCCGGAUCGUGAAUGUCACUUUCUGGACUGCCACCCGCUCGUGCAACCAUCCGUUCCUGGAUCUCCCUACUCACCAGUUCAUCGUUCUCCAACCAACCUCCCCUCUGGACAUACACCUGGUUCAUCUACCGCUUCCCCUUCACCAACUCUGAUAAACAUCCCCCCGCCUUUCACCUGCCGUCGCAGCCUGCGACCAUCAGAUCCACGCCAAGCAGCCUCCGACCAUCCGCCUCCCUCGUAGUACCCCCGGCUCUCCUGCUCCCUAGAAAUUCCUGCUGUCAGCAACGUCUCAGUCCGUGCAUGUACAGACUAGGUUUAGUGUUGUUUAUAGUUUUCUGUAGGUUUGUAUAGUUCAAGUCCACCAGUGUGUGUGUGUUUUGUAGCCUUUGUCUGGUACACCGGCUUCAUGCUUAAUCUAAUGUUUUGCUCAGGUUAGUAUCAUUGUUCUAGUGUUUCGUAGUUUGAUUAUCUGCAUAGCUUUGUGAGUGUUGUCGCUCUUCCGUUUUUUGCGUUUUGUAUUUCAGGUCUAGUUAUUCCUGGUUCAGCUUAGUAGUUUUUGUAUUGACUUGUUGAGUCUUAGUUCCGCUUCCCUGCCCAGGUUAUACCUGCCGUGGGUUAGUUUUCUUGCACUUGUAGAUUCUUUGUUUAGCCAGCCGCUAGACGCACUGUAGAGUGUGCUGCCUUUGUUACCUUGGUAUUCAGAUUCCAAUUCCGGUUUAGUAUUUCCGGUGUGAUUUUGUAGUUCUUUUAAGAAAUUCUUUCUGUAAAUAAACUAUUAUUUCUGCA